AUAAAAGACACCUCUUUCGUUCAGCAAUCAAAAACGUAAGUCACUCUUUGAACAAAGUUUGUACUCUCUGUGCACUUCAAAUUCAACCAAUUUCAAAUUACAUUCAUUUGAUUUCAUUCAUCAAAUCUAAUUAAGAUGCUUCCAGUUGUUUCUAAAUGAAGUGAAGGUUGCAUCGCCUAAUGUAUCUAGGGUUUUCGUGACCUUUCAAGGGGAGGUUUUAUAUAAAACAAGGAAGCAGCACACGAAAAGAAUGACAGGUCCUAUACACCACACAAUUAACUCAAAAAAGCAAGAAAUAUCACGAAGACUUUUUACAAAUUGAACUUUGUGGAUCUUUUGAGAAGCUGUUCUACGUGAUUUGAGUAGAAGACCUUUAGAACCCAGACUCUUAAAGAAAUACGAAGUUAUAAGGGCAGGGGAACUUGAAGGAAGUCAUCACUCUCCAACUAAUAAGUUAAAUGAAGGAGGGACCCGUAAUAAUGUUGUUGAGAGGAGACAACUAGGACAUGGACAAAAUGUUUGUCAUAAGGUCAAUCCAUCAUUUGCUAAAGUGUUAGGGCAUCAAAGGUCAAAGGGACAAACAUCAGAAGCACAUGUUUGUGAGGCUGGCAUUAGAGAAGUGAAUUUCAACGUAGUGGAAAAUCUAAGAAACUUGUGCAGUAGGUUUUUCAAUUAUUUAUGCAUUAACUGCCUCUUCAUUGAUAUGUAGUAGUACAAGACUUUCCUAACUAACAGCUUUAGAUACAUAAGAAUAUUGAAGAACGUGUGGACAUAUGGGAAUGACUACAGUAGCAAUAAGUGUUACAAUAAUGACCAAGAAAGAACCAUUGAAGGGUAGUAGUUUCUUGAUUUGAUAGUUCAACUAUCUCAAUAUUGCUGGAGAAAUAACACUAGGCAUAACUUCUUAAUUCUUUUUAGUU